GGGGGCAGGAGACACAUGGAAAACUGGAUGGAUUCUGACUGGAGAUGAAAGUCACAGCCCCAGGACAUCACUAUGGGGACUAAGGUGAGAACCAGCCUUUGGCCAUUGAUCCUUCCCUUAUCAGAGGACAAGCUGCUUCCCUCUGGAUGGUUGUAAUGCAUACUGAGACCCAGGCCGCUGGCAUUCCGGUGCACCUGCAGGCAGAGCCAAGGACAGAUAGCUGCCCAGUGUGCUGCCCCAGCCCAGCUGCGUGGCCUUCAUCCCCACAGAUUUCUUCCAGUAAAGGCUGCUCCAGUUUCCUGGGGCCUCCUGGGACACCUGACAGAAUGAAACACCCACUCCAUCUCCAGAACCUUCUUCAGUAAGCGAUGAUGAGAAUAUGAGAAAUUCAACAGAGAAAUGAAUCUAUCCAUGAGGGCAACCAAGGAUAUGGACCACGGAGAUUCACGCCUCUUAAACUCUGAAGCAGGAAAAGCCAUCAGCAUUCCAUGGGAGCAUCCUGGAAAGCUGAACCAGCGCACUGAAGAGUUGGUUGGGAGCAUGGAUGUGAAUGAAAGCAGAGAUUCAAUCAGUGGUAUCACAGGCCAUAUUGUGAUCCACUUUAGAAGCUGAAGUAAUUGAGAACCUA